AUCCUACGGGACGCAGCAGUGAGGAAUAUUGGUCAAUGGGCGGGAGCCUGAACCAGCCAAGUCGCGUGAGGGAAUAAGGCCCUAUGGGUCGUAAACCUCUUUUGUCAGGGAGCAAAGGCGUCCACGUGUGGACGAGAGGAGAGUACCCGAAGAAAAAGCAUCGGCUAACUCCGUGCCAGCAGCCGCGGUAAUGCGGAGGAUGCGAGCGUUAUCCGGAUUUAUUGGGUUUAAAGGGUGCGCAGGCGGCGUGUCAUGCAAGCGGUAAAAUAGCGGGGCUCAACCCCGUC
rnacentral:rRNA from 1 species